UGGGGAAUCUUCCGCAAUGGACGAAAGUCUGACGGAGCGACGCCGCGUGAGUGAAGAAGGCCUUCGGGUCGUAAAGCUCUGUCAUCAGGGACGAACGGCCGGUGGAGUGGAAAGCCACCGGAUUGACGGUACCUGAGAAGGAAGCCAUGGCUAACUACGUGCCAGCAGCCGCGGUAAUACGUAAGUGGCACGCGUUGUCCGGAAUUCUUGGGCGUAAAGCGCGCGCAGGUGGGAUCUUAAGUCCAUUUUGAAAGUUCGGAGCUCAGCUCCGUGAUGGGAUGGAAACUGGGAUUCUUGAGGACCGGAGAGGAAAGCGGAAUUCCCCGUGUAGCGGUGAAAUGCGUAGAUAUGGGGAGGAACACCAGUGGCGAAGGCGGCUUUCUGGACGGUGUCUGACACUGAGGCGCGAAAGCCAGG
rnacentral:rRNA from 1 species